UUACGACCAUACAGCAUUGAAUCAUCGGUUCCCGUACGAUCACCGCAGUUAAGCAAUGUCGAGGCGGGUCAGUACAUAGAUGGAUGAUCAUUUGGGGACACCAGGUGCUGUAAG